CCUACGGGGGGCUGCAGUGAGGAAUAUUGGUCAAUGGGCGGAAGCCUGAACCAGCCAAGUCGCGUGAGGGAUGACUGCCCUAUGGGUUGUAAACUUCUUUUAUAAGGGAAUAAAAAGCGGUACGUGUACCAUGUUGUAUGUACUUUAUGAAUAAGCAUCGGCUAACUCCGUGCCAGCAGCCGCGGUAAUACGGAGGAUGCGAGCGUUAUCCGGAUUUAUUGGGUUUAAAGGGAGCGUAGGUGGGUUGUUAAGUCAGUUGUGAAAGUUUGGGGCUUAACCGUAAAAUUGCAAUUGAUACUGGCAGUCUUGAGUACAGGUGAGGUAGGCGGAAUGCGUGGUGUAGCGGUGAAAUGCUUAGAUAUCACGAAGAACUCCGAUUGCGAAGGCAGCUUGCCGGGGCGAUACUGACACUGAGGCACGAAAGCGUGGGGAGCGAACAGGAUUAGAUACCCCAGUAGUC
rnacentral:rRNA from 1 species